UACGAAGGGAGCUAGCGUUACUCGGAAUCAUUGGGCGUAAAGCGUGCGUAGGCGGUCUUGUAAGUUAGGAGUGAAAUCCUGGGGCUCAACCCCAGAACUGCUCUUAAUACUGCUAGACUAGAGUAUCAGAGGGGACAGUAGAAUUCCUAGUGUAGGGGUGAAAUCCGUAGAUAUCUGGAGGAACACCGGUGGCGAAGGCGGGACUCUGGGCCGAUACUGACGCUGAGGAGCGAAAGCGUGGGGAGCGAACAGG
rnacentral:rRNA from 1 species